GGCUCAGGAUGAACGCUAGCGGCAGGCUUAACACAUGCAAGUCGAGGGGCAGCAUGACACGGAGAUUCGUCAAAGUGUUGAUGGCGACCGGCGCAAGGGUGCGUAACGCGUGAGCAACUUGCCCGUUUCUGGGGAAUAACCGGUGGAAACGCCGACUAAUACCCCAUAGCAUCACUUUUAGGCAUCUUUUAGUGAUUAAAGAAUUUCGGAAACGGAUAGGCUCGCGUGACAUUAGCUAGAUGGCGGGGUAACGGCCCACCAUGGCGACGAUGUCUAGGGGUUCUGAGAGGAAGGUCCCCCACACUGGAACUGAGACACGGUCCAGACUCCUACGGGAGGCAGCAGUGAGGAAUAUUGGUCAAUGGUCGGAAGACUGAACCAGCCAUGCCGCGUGAAGGUCACGGCCCUAUGGGUCUUAAACUUCUUUUGUAAGGGAGCAAUAAGGUUCACGUGUGGACUGAUGAGAGUACCUUACGAAUAAGCAUCGGCUAACUCCGUG
rnacentral:rRNA from 1 species